UCAAUCAUAUCUCUCAAAUUGGAGCAAGGAAAUUAGAAAAUUGAUCUGGUGCGCUCACGCCAUGGAAUCUCUCAUCCUCCUCCCAUGGAAAAAACAAACAAAUCUCUCUCAAAUUGGAGCAACCAAGUUGGGGAAUAGAUCAGGUUCGUCACUUAUUAUUUUUUAUUUUUUUUCCUAAUUUAACAUUUGAAUCGACCUUACCUUUUCAAUUGCAUUAGGUUUCAUGUUUUCUACUGCGUCCUUUGACAGUCCUAGGAUUCAAUCCUAGGUUUGCUGACGUACGCUCUUUGGGCACUUCAUGGAGAUCGCGAUGGGGCAGAACCAAGCCCAUGCCGCCAUCUUAUAAAUUAACUGCAGCCUAACACAAACAAUCUACACAUCAAGGAGGCUCCUGUCAGUCGUAAACAUCGUCGCUCGUGUACCUUC
rnacentral:lncRNA from 1 species